AUGAGCACAGCCUUGUUCUCAGAGAUGUGCAGGAUAAGAUGUGCAGGUGACCCUGGGACUUUGCUCUGUUCCUCAGCAGGAACCAGCCAGACAUUGGUGCUGCUGGAGGGCCUGUCAUGGGGCGCUCGGCUGUCCUUCUCACCGUGGCCCUGGCCAGCCUCCUGGCUCCGGGGGCAGGGGCACCCGUCGGCAGGCAGGGCUCCCAGAACAAGCUGCUCCUGGUGUCCUUCGAUGGCUUCCGCUGGAACUACGACCAGGAUGUGCAAACCCCCAACCUGGACGCCAUGGCGCGGGACGGAGUGAAAGCUCGCUACAUGACCCCAGCCUUCGCCACCAUGACAAGCCCUUGCCACUUCACCCUGGUCACUGGCAAAUACAUUGAGAACCACGGAGUGGUUCACAACAUGUUCUACAACACCACCACAAAGGUGAAGCUGCCCUACCACGCCACGCUGGGCAUCGAGAGGUGGUGGGACAACGGCAGCGUGCCCAUCUGGAUCACGGCCCAGCGGCAGGGCUUAAAGACGGGCUCCUUCUUCUACCCCGGCGGCAAUGUCACCUACCAAGGCGUGGCCGUGACGCUGAGCCGGAAGGAAGGCAUCCUGCACAACUACAAGAACGAGAAGGAGUGGAGGGCCAACAUCGACACGGUGAUGCGGUGGUUCACAGAGGAGAAGCUGGACCUGGUCACGCUCUACUUUGGGGAGCCGGACUCCACGGGCCACAAGUACGGCCCAGAGUCCCAGGAGAGGAAGGAGAUGGUGAUGCAGGUGGACAGGACUGUGGGCUACCUCCGGGACCGCAUCAGGCAGAGCGGCCUGGACAGCGGCCUCAACCUGAUCAUCACGUCCGACCACGGCAUGACCGCCGUCCGCAAGAACGCCAGUGACUUGGUGGAAUUCUACAGAUUCCCCAACUUCACCUUCAAGGACAUUGAGUUCGAGCUCCUGGACUAUGGACCAAAUGGGAUGCUGCUUCCCAAAGAAGGGAUGCUAGAGAAGGUAUACGAGGCCCUCAAGGACGCCCACCCCAAGCUCCACGUCUACAGGAAGGAGGCCUUCCCCAAGUCCCUCCACUACGCCAAUAAUCCCAGGAUCACCCCCCUGCUCAUGUACAGUGAUGCCGGCUACGUCAUCCACGGGAGAGUAAAUGUGCAGUUCAACAAUGGUGAGCAUGGCUUUGACAAUGAGGUCAUGGACAUGAAGACCAUCUUCCGGGCUGCGGGCCCCAGCUUCAAGAGGGGCCUGGAGGUGGAGCCCUUCGAGAGCGUCCAUGUGUAUGAGCUCAUGUGCAGGCUGCUAGGCAUCGUGCCCGAGGCCAAUGACGGGCUCCUCAGCACCCUGCUGCCCAUGCUCCAGGACACCAGCCAGGGGCCCCUCAGCACCCCACUGCCCACACUCCAGCACACCAGCCACAGGCUCCCUAGGACCACGGAUGGCUCAGGGUCUACCCUCCAGCCAAGCGGCUGGCCCACCCUGGUGAUCGGACUGCUGGUGGCCAUGAUUCUUCUGGGCAAGGUCGCAUAAUAAUACACAAGCGCUCAAGGCCCACCAUUGCAGGAAGCCUCCGGAAGCCACCCACAAGCCCCUGGCCUACAGUCCCUGCGAGGCUCCCCGGCCAUGGAAGAAAGGCUGCGGAAGCAGAGGACAAGCCCAGUCCUGACAGGUCCUAGCGGCCUCUUGGGCAGAGCCGGCUGCUGUGGCUCAGCCUCAGCCCUUGGCACCAGUCACCAAUAAACUCCUGGUUCUAAGGACGGGGGACAACCCAGCCCUUCCUUCUUGCUGGGGGAUAGGUCCUGGGUGCCCCCAGGAGAGGGCCGAAGGGCGGCAGCAAGGCUUUUUGUAAUAGGAAACAGCGGGAACACUGCAGGUUGUGUGUGUGAU